AAUAUCAAAGAACAUCAGAAGCAACAAAUCUUUCAACUGCCUGCAUGUGUCGUAAUGCUAGGUGCUCAGUCGGGAAACAUGUGAUCUGGAUUUUCAGGCAGUCAGUCUGCAGAGCCAGUCUAGAAUAAGAUGGGGGAAAGUCACAAGAACAAGGGAACGGGGACAGGCUGCCUUCUAG